rnacentral:rRNA from 1 species
UCAAGAAACUUCUACAAUGGGCGAAAGCCUGAUGGAGCGACGUCGCGUGAUGGACGAAGUGCUUCGGCACGUAAACAUCUUUUAUGUGGGAUGAAAUUAUUGACAGUACCACAUGAAUAAGGGGCUCCUAACUCUGUGCCAGCAGGAGCGGUAAUACAGAGGCCCCAAGCGUUAUCCGGAAUCACUGGGCGUAAAGGGUGUCGAGGCGGUUGUAUUAGUCGUUCGUAAAAUCUACGAGCUUAACUUGUAGGCGGCGAACGAAACGGUACGACUUGAGGUUUGGAGAGGUGCGUGGAACUCACGGUGUAGGGGUGAAAUCCGUUGAUAUCGUGGGGAACACCAAAGGCGAAGGCAGCGCACUGGCCAAAAUCUGACGCUCACACACGAAAGCUGGGGUAGCGAAGAGGAUUAGAU